rnacentral:misc_RNA from 1 species
GAACGCAUAUUGCACUUUCUGGUAUUCCGGAAAGUAUGCCUGUUUGAGGGUCAGUUAAAUAAAAAUCGGUGUUGUUGCCGCUUUUCGAGGUGACGCGUCGGAAUUGAGUUGUCUUACCUUCGGUUAAGUGACUUAAAAUUUUGUAUGAUUUUCGAACGUAUUUAAAUUUAUUUGAACGUUUGAUAUCGAAUGCUUAUUAGGUUCGGUCAUCCUCAUGACUCGCGCCUAUAAUUUUUCAUUAAAUGACCUCAAAUCAGGUAAGAAUACCCGCUGAACUUAAGC